GGGAGCUGUAGACUGGAGCUGUUCCUAUUCGGCCAUCUUGGCUCGCGAACUCCACACCUGGAAACCACCAUUCUCCUCUCUACUUCUCUGGAUUUGACUGUUUCAUAUACCACACAUAGAUACCACCUUUUGUCGGAACUCGAGUCAUGACUGACCCUCACUAUACUGAUGCUUUCUGACUGAGUUUCUCUCUACCCUAAAUACAAGAGACUCUAAUAGUUAGGCAGGAAUAUCAUUGCCCCUAUUCCGCCUGAAGAAGUUACAGAAGACGGAUCUUUGCCCCUCUGCAACCCUUAAGAUUAAGGGUUCUCUUAUAAAAGGGAGAAGGGAAAUGCCAGAGGCAUGUGAACCAGAGCAACUCCAUCUUAAGUAGGAGCUGGGUAAAAUGAGGCUGAGACUUACUUGGCUGCAUUCCCAGGCAGUUAAGGCAUUCUAAGUCACAGGAUGAGAUAGGAGGUCAGCACAAGAUACAGGUCAUAAAGACCAUGCUGAUAAAACAGCUUGCAGAAAAGAAGCCAGCUAAAACCCACCUAAACCAAGAUGGCCAUGAGAGUGACCUCUAGUUGUCCUCACUGCUGCACUCCCACCAGUGCCACGACAGUUUACAAAUGCUAUGGCAACAUCAGGAAGUUUCUCUAUAUGGUCUAGAAAGGGAAGGCAGGAAUAAUCCACCCCUUGUUUAGCAUAUCUUCAAGAAAUAACCAUACAAAUGGGCAACCAGCAGCCCUCAGGGCUGCUCUGUCUGUGGAGUAGCCAUUCUUCUAUUCCUUUACUUUCCAAAUAAACUUGCUUUCAUUUUACUCUAUGGACUCAUCCUGAGUUCUUUCUUGCAUGAGAUGUAAGAACCCUCUCUUCGGGUCUGACUCUGGACUCCUUUCCUUUAACAGUCUUCCAAUCUAUGAAUAGGCUAUACUCCUCCAUUUGUUUCAUUGUUUUAAACUGUUGCUAGUAUAUAAAAUGCAAUUGAUUUUUGUAUAUUGACCUUGUGGCUAGCAGUCUCAAUUUAUCUAUUAAUUCUAAUAAUCUUUUAUGCAGAUUUAUUCAGAUUUUAAAUACACAACCAUGUCAUCUGUGAAUAAUAACUGUAUUAUUUCUUUUUGCAAUCCUUACUUUUCAUUUCUCCUUUCUCACAUUAUUACAGAGUUUACAGUUUGCCUCUUUGCCUAAUGCCAAUUCCACAAAAAAUUCAAUAUUUUAUCGUUAAAAAUAUUUAAGUUUAUGGAGAAACUCUUUUAAAUAUUAAUAAAUUGCCAUUGAAAUUCUAGUGGCUAAGUAUUUGGCUCAUGAAUGAAUGUUGAAUUGCAUCCCAUAAAUUUUCUGCAUCUAUUGAGAUUCUUACAUUUUUUCCUUACUCUUAAUAUAAUGACUUACAUUAAUUUUCUAAUGUUAAAUCAACUUUUCAUUUCUAUUAUAAACUUGAUUAUGAUAUAUUGACCUUUUCAUAUAUCAUUUAAUUUGACUUGCUAAUAUAUUUUGGAUUUCUGCUUCCAUGUUCCUAAAAGAUAUUUGCAUGUUCUUUUCUUUUCUUGUAAUGUUUUCGUCAGAUUUUGGCAUCAUACUUUAAUUACAAAGUAAGUCCUUAAUUUUUUUUUAUUAUCAUAAAAUGUUUAGGUUAAUAUUGGUGUCAUUUUCUUUCCUUAGUGGUCUGUAAUAAUUCACUGGUGAAGUCAUCUAAGCCUGGAGUUUUGGUGGUAGAAAACUUCAAAUUACAGAAUUGAUUUUUAAUAGAUAGAAAACUAUUCAGACAUUCUGUGUGCUUGUGUCAGUCAUGUAUAGUACAGUUUUCAAGAUAUUUAUCAAUUUUAUCUGAAUGUUUAAAUGUAUUCCCAAUGUUGUUAAUAUCCUCUCAUCUUUUAAUGUCUGCAUGAUCAGUCACAUUCCUAAAAUUGUCAUUUUAUCUUUUUUUCUUUAUCUUGAUAAUUACUUUAUUAAGUAAAGGUAAUUAUCAAUUAUUUUUAAAGAAAAAACUUCUGAAUUUUAAAACUCCUUGGCGUAUGUUUUGUAGUUCAGUAGCUUCUGAUCUUAAUUUUUAUUGUUAAUAAAAAUUAUAAAAUAAAAAUCUUAUUUUUACUGGAU
rnacentral:lncRNA from 10 species